rnacentral:rRNA from 1 species
UAAACUAUAACUGACGCUCAGGCACGAAAGCGUGGGGAGCAAACAGGAUUAGAUACCCUGGUAGUCCACGCCGUAAACGAUGAUCACUCGCUGUUGGCGAUACACAGUCAGCGGCAAAGGGAAACCAUUAAGUGAUCCACCUGGGGAGUACGGUCGCAAGAUUGAAACUCAAAGGAAUUGACGGGGGCCCGCACAAGCGGAGGAGCAUGUGGUUUAAUUCGAUGAUACGCGAGGAACCUUACCUGGGCUUAAAUGUUGGACGACUGUCCCCGAAAGGGGACUUUCCUUCGGGACGUCUAACAAGGUGCUGCAUGGUUGUCGUCAGCUCGUGCCGUGAGGUGUCGGGUUAAGUCCCAUAACGAGCGCAACCCCUAUCCUUAGUUGCCAUCAGGUAAUGCUGGGGACUCUAAGGAAACUGCCUACGCAAGUAGCGAGGAAGGUGGGGAUGACGUCAAAUCAGCACGGCCCUUAUGUCCAGGGCUACACACGCGCUACAAUGGCCGGUACAGAGGGCAGCUACCUGGUGACAGGAUGCUAAUCUCGAAAACCGGUCUCAGUUCGGAUCGAAGUCUGCAACUCGACUUCGUGAAGUCGGAUUCGCUAGUAAUCGCACAUCAGCCAUGGCGCGGUGAAUACGUUCCCGGGCCUUGUACACACCGCCCGUCAAGCCAUGGAAGCUGGGGGUACCUAAAGUCCGUAACCGCAAGGAGCGGCCUAGGGUAAAACUAGUAACUGGGGCUAAGUCGUAACAAGGUAACC